rnacentral:rRNA from 1 species
GACGAACGCUGGCGGCGUGCCUAAUACAUGUAAGUCGAGCGGACCUCUUCGGAGGCUAGCGGCGGACGGGUGAGUAACACGUGGGCAACCUGCCUGUAAGACUGGGAUAACUUCGGGAAACCGGAGCUAAUACCGGAUAAUCCUUUCCCUCUCAUGAGGGAAAGCUGAAAGACGGUUUCGGCUGUCACUUACAGAUGGGCCCGCGGCGCAUUAGCUAGUUGGUGAGGUAACGGCUCACCAAGGCGACGAUGCGUAGCCGACCUGAGAGGGUGAUCAGCCACACUGGGACUGAGACACGGCCCAGACUCCUACGGGAGGCAGCAGUAGGGAAUCUUCCGCAAUGGACGAAAGUCGGACGGAGCAACGCCGCGUGAGCGAAGAAGGCCUUCGGGUCGUAAAGCUCUGUUGUCAGGGAAGAACAAGUAUCGGAGUAACUGCCGGUACCUUGACGGUACCUGACCAGAAAGCCACGGCUAACUACGUGCCAGCCGCCGCUGUAA